CCUACGGGAGGCAGCAGUGGGGAAUAUUGGACAAUGGGGGCAACCCUGAUCCAGCCAUGCCGCGUGAGUGAUGAAGGCCUUCGGGUUGUAAAGCUCUUUUGGCGGGGACGAUGAUGACGGUACCCGCAGAAUAAGCCCCGGCUAACUUCGUGCCAGCAGCCGCGGUAAGACGAAGGGGGCUAGCGUUGUUCGGAAUUACUGGGCGUAAAGCGAGUGUAGGUGGUUGUCCAAGUUGGAUGUGAAAGCCUUGAGCUCAACUCAAGAAAUGCAUUCAGGACUGGAUGACUAGAGGACCGGAGAGGAUAGUGGAAUUCCCAGUGUAGUGGUGAAAUACGUAGAGAUUGGGAAGAACACCAGUGGCGAAGGCGGCUAUCUGGACGGUUUCUGACACUAAGACUCGAAAGCGUGGGGAGCAAACAGGAUUAGAUACCCUGGUAGUCCACGCCGUAAACGAUGGGUGCUAGACGUUGGCGAGCUUGCUCGUCAGUGUCGCAGCUAACGCGUUAAGCACCCCGCCUGGGGAGUACGGCCGCAAGGUUGAAACUCAAAUGAAUUGACGG
rnacentral:rRNA from 1 species